GGGAAGGUAGCUCAGUGGUAGAGUACUUGCCUUGCAUGCAGGAGGCCCUGGGUUCGAUUCCUCAGCACCA
rnacentral:tRNA from 1 species